rnacentral:rRNA from 1 species
UACGGGGGGGGCAAGCGUUGUUCGGAAUUACUGGGCGUAAAGGGCUCGUAGGUGGCCAACUAAGUCAGACGUGAAAUCCCUCAGCUUAACUGGGGAACUGCGUCUGAUACUGGAUGGCUUGAGUUCGGGAGAGGAGAGUGGAAUUCCCAGUGUAGAGGUGAAAUUCGUAGAUAUUGGGAAGAACACCGGUGGCGAAGGCGGCGCUCUGGACAGAGACUGACGCUGAGGCGCGAAAGCGUGGGGAGCAAACAGG